rnacentral:rRNA from 1 species
UACGUAGGGUGCAAGCGUUAAUCGGAAUUACUGGGCGUAAAGCGUGCGCAGGCGGUGAUGUAAGACAGGUGUGAAAUCCCCGGGCUUAACCUGGGAACUGCAUUUGUGACUGCAUCGCUGGAGUGCGGCAGAGGGGGAUGGAAUUCCGCGUGUAGCAGUGAAAUGCGUAGAUAUCAUUUGGAACGCCAAUGGUGAAAACAGGUUGCUGGGAGUGUGCUGACGCUGAGACACGAAAGCCAGGGGAGCGAACGGG